rnacentral:rRNA from 1 species
GACGAACGCUGGCGGCGUGCCUAAUACAUGCAAGUCGAGCGAGCUUGCCUAGAUGAAUUUGGUGCUUGCACCAAAUGAAACUAGAUACAAGCGAGCGGCGGACGGGUGAGUAACACGUGGGUAACCUGCCCAAGAGACUGGGAUAACACCUGGAAACAGAUGCUAAUACCGGAUAACAACACUAGACGCAUGUCUAGAGUUUAAAAGAUGGUUCUGCUGUCACUCUUGGAUGGACCUGCGGUGCAUUAGCUAGUUGGUAAGGCAACGGCUUACCAAGGCAAUGAUGCAUAGCCGAGUUGAGAGACUGAUCGGCCACAUUGGGACUGAGGCACGGCCCAAACUCCUACGGGAGGCAGCAGUAGGGAAUCUUCCACAAUGGACGCAAGUCUGAUGGAGCAACGCCGCGUGAGUGAAGAAGGGUUUCGGCUCGUAAAGCUCUGUUGGUAGUGAAGAAAGAUAGAGGUAGUAACUGGCCUUUAUUUGACGGUAAUUACUUAGAAAGUCACGGCUAACUACGUG